rnacentral:misc_RNA from 1 species
GGAUUCCCCAUACCCUGACAAUUCCAGCUCAGAAUUUUCAUUUGGAUUGCUGGGGCCACUUGAGGUUGGCUUCCUCCAACUUCUCCCAAAUUCUCAGAAUUUUGAACAUCAACAUUGAUUUUCUCGAAGCAAUUAGUAGAUUGACUGUAUCCUCUACUUCGUUUCCCACCUACUAUCAUAACUCCAUCUCGCUCGGCCUCCUCUAGAUCAU